ensembl:lncRNA
AAAUUGAUCGAGGGGCUCUCCACCGCCGUGCGCUCUCGCCUGCCCGCUCUCCUCCUGCUCCUUCUGCCCCGGCGCCGGAGCCCCCGCGAGUUCUUUCUCCUUCCCCCACCCCUGCUCUCUGAGUCAGUGGUGGGACGCCGGGCCAGGGAGAUAACCAAAAAAAAAAAAAGGGGGGGUAGGGUGGGGGUGGGGGUGGCGAGAGGGGAGGGGAGCCGGCUCGUCGGCCUGCUUUCUCCUGCCGGAGACUUGUUUGCAACCGCUGCCUCUUUUAUUUACGAGAAGAAAUCUCCCCCUCGAUACUUCUUGGCUGUUUGGCCGCCUCUGUAUUACUUACCAGGUAAGCGAGCUCUGUGCGCCUCCCCGGGUCCCGCGCGGCGCCCGCGCGCCCCGGACCCCCACCCUAACCGACCCAUCCAGACCCCAGCCCCCACCCCCGGCCUGGGUCAGAGCGGUGGGUCCACCGGGCCCUCAGCAGGCCGGCGGGCGAGCGGGCUCCCGCUGCGGUCCAGCCGGCGGUGUGUGCGCUACGUGCGGCGGGGAGCGGCCACCCGGCUCGGCGCCCCCACCGCGCCGCCGCCGGGGGUUGCGCGUCUCGCUCCUUUUGUCUGCCCGGAGCCGGCUCGGUGGCGGCGGUGCCGCGAGCGGCCGGGGGCACUCAAGCCUUCCAAGGGGAAUGAAGCACCCGGUGUGAAGUUACUUUCCUGCAGGCCGCCCCGAUCGGGUAGCACGCGUCCCCCCCCCUCACCCCCAGUCCCGGGCUUCUUUUCCUCCUCCUCGAGCCAGCCCCCUGCGCGGUCUCCGCACGAGCGUGGCGCGCCCGCUCCCCGCCCCCCUUCCUGCCUGGGAUUCCCUGGAAGGUUUUGUGCCUGCCGAGGUCGGAGGAGGGGGCCGGGGGAAGCUCCGGAGAGUGGUUGGCGUGGCUUCCUGUUUCCCUAACCUUCCUGCGCGCUGACAGCAGCCUGCCCUGUAACUUUCUGUUUCGGGGCAAGUUGCGCUUGCAGCCCACGGGGAAGGGGAGGGGGUGAGGGCCGGAGGUUUGGGGAGCCCCUCUUGUGUUCACUUUAUUUGCACUUGGAGACCUGAAGAAGAAUUACAUGGAGGCUAAAGGGAGGCGGGCGAGCCAGGGAUCCUGGUGAGGAGGUGGGAGCCGCCGUGCUCCCUGGGCCUUCCCGGCUGCCCUGCUGUCACCCCCCCCUCCCGUGCCCCCCGGGGUCGGGAGUAACUCACCAGGCCGGCCCCGGGUGGGCCACGUGACCUACAGGUCAGGAAGGCUGCCCUGCGUGUGACCACUUGUUCUAGGAAUGAGCUGUUUUUAUUUCCCCUUCCUUCCUUGGAGAGUUUUAUCUUCUCUGGGUGCAGACACACAGUUCCUAGGGAAGCUGGGGCAGCCGUGGAUCUGGGGAUGGGGGACACGUUGGGAUGCUGCAGGGAGGAGAAAGGACGUUCCUGGGCUUCUCAGGUCGGGGCUUUAAAAAUUCUGCAGAGGAGGCUGCUGCUGGCAGAGGUUAACUCCUGAACUGUUUUGCUGGAGAAAAGUGCACGUGGCCGGGUGUUGGGUUUUGGUUUUUUUCCCUCUGCUCUGAAGCCCCAGUCGCUUUGGCUGAGGCUCCCAGAGCCGCGCUGGAUCCCCUGGGAGGAGCGUCAGGGGAGGGAACGGGCCUGGGCAGGACCCAGCUGUGCUAGAUGUGGCUCUUGAUGCCCCUGAACCGGGGCAGACGGUUGACAGAGUAGGGGGAGGGUUUGUGGGGGUAAGAGUGGGAGGGGCGUCUCUGUUUCCUGUGAAAUCCAUGCAUUUGCUCUUUUUUCAGUUUCUUGGGGGCUGUUUUGGGUCCCCAGCCCUUCUCAGGAACCGACCAGGUCUAUGUCUCAGGCUUGGUGUCUCCAGCACUCUUCCAGGAAGAAUAUUCCUCGGGGUCUGCCCCUGGCUCCUGAGCUCCUUCCCUUCCCUGCCUGAAAUGCACGUCCAGCCUUCCUCUCCCCUCUGCAUCGCCCUUGGCCCGCCUGGCCCAGAUGAGAACCCGAAUCCCCUGUUUACAAAGGGGCUGUGUUCUGACACGGCCCAGGAGGAAGAACCCGGUGGCCCAGCACGGGUGCCUGGGGAGAUGCACCCAGGCCCUUUGGACCCAGACUGUGGCCUGGCAUUCCUGCUCUGGCUGAUGGCUUCCAGCGGCCUUCCCCCUGGACAGGGAGCUGCCGGAAAGCUGGCAGGGGUCUCCCCUCUGUGAACCUGCGGCGCGGCCCCCAGAGCUGCGCCUUGUCUUGUAGAGACUUUCAGCCCAUGUGUGUGGCAGGAAGGAAUCUUCUGAAGUACGGGGCCUCUGCAAAGCACAGGUGUUUGUCAUCGGCACCCCACUUCCCCUGCCACCGGGUGGCUGCUGGCGCAUAUGUAUUCCUCAGGUGACCGGUUUUUUUAUUUACACUGGGAGCUGCAGAGGGAGGAGGAGGAAGUGUCAGGCUGGGAAAUCCAGAGCCAUGAAAGCAAAUUGGUCCUGGCUGGUGUGAAGCCUGAGUGGCAGAGCGGAAGGCCUGCAGGUGGGAGGCCUGGGGAGGUCAGGGCACGGGGCCGGUCCUCUUGGCCUGUGGACAGGGCUGUCUGUGCCUCCAGAGUCUUCUUUUUUCCUUUCUCCAGUUGCCCCGCUAGGGUUUGUACUUUAUGAUCUUCGUGUAGAGGCUUAACUGGGAAGACCAAGGUCAAGUGGCUUUGCUCCCCUGGGGCUUCGGUCAGCUCCCCUUGGAGUCAGAGAGGCCAGAGGCAAAGACUGACCUGGUUCUCGGGGAGCUUCUGAGGCCCCCUUGCAAGUGCUUGCUGUGAAUCCAUCGUGUAACUGCCACUCCCACUCCAGAACUAGGUGCCUGUGUCACAUCCACCCAUUUCACAGAUGACCAGAGUCAGGCUCAGAGGAGCUGGCAGCUUGCCCAGCUCAGGAGGGGUGGCGCUGCGACGUGAAGCCUGCGGCUGCCCACCACGCUGGCCCGGGAAGAAUAGGCCUGGACGUGGCAGCCUGGCAUGCGGUGGCUCUGUGCCUUAGAGGCCUGACACCCAGGUGCUCUCGAGCCUCUGGAACCCCAUUCUGUCCCCACAGCCAGAUCCUGUCACGGUGUCUGUAACUGCAGGGAGCAGGGCCCAGAACCUGCCCAGCCAGCUGUUCUGGGGGUUGGGGGCAGGGCAGUUCAUUCCCAGCCAGGCUGGCAUCAGGCACCGCUUCUCCUGUUUGACAGGACUGAGGCCAGGCACUCAGGUUUGAAGUCCUUUCUGCCUCUUCUGGGCAGGUAACAAGCUCUCUGGGCCUCGAUGUUCCCAUUUGUGAAAUGGGACCCAUCACUGGGUCAUUUCACUAUCCGUGUAAGGCAGGGCUUGGCCAUCUGAGGCCCACCGUUUGAUUUUUGUAAACAAAGUUUUAUUGGCACAAGGCCAUGUCCGUUCCUUUGUGCAUUAUCUGGGGCAGCUUUCGUGCUCCACCAGCAAACUGGAGUGGUUGUGACAAGGCCAGCCAAGCCUAAAAGGCGUGAUCUAGCCCAUUACAAGGGAAGUUUGCCGGCCUCUGGUGCAAGGGAUUAAAUUCAAUGAGUGAAUCUUUGCAAGGCACUGAGGACUGCACCUGGGACAAAGGGGACACUUAGCAGGUGGCAGCUAUAUGAUAAUCAUUAUUCUUAGGGUGGAAUCAUUUGCAGAAAAUCUCAGGGCUUCGUAGCGAUCGAGCUGGGACUUGAACUCGAGUCUUUGGACCAGGCCCCUCACCCCCACGACGCGGUGUCACUAGUGGGGGGACUGGGAUCCAGAAGAACGCUUGCCUGUGCCAGGAGAGGGUGGACCGGGCCUGUGCAAAGGGAACUGGGGACCUGCGGGGGGAGGGGGGCUCCAGUGCUUCUCAGAAUGCUCUUCUGUGUGCGCACGCGCCCAGCUGUCUGUCCCCUUUCCGAACUCCCCCCGGCCGUGGGCAGGUGGAGACAGUGGGUUUCUCUCCUGGCCAACUCAGCGCCGGACCGGUAAUAACAAUAGUAGAAAUAGGAGUUCCCGUCGCGGCUCAGUGGUUGAGGAACCCAGUUAGCGACCAUGAGGCCGCGGGUUCGAUCCCUGGCCUCGCUCAGCGGGUUAAGGAUCCGGCGUUGCCAUGAGCUGUGGUGUGGGUUGCAGAUGUGGCUUAGAUCCCGCGUGGCUGUGGCUGUGGUGUAGGCCGGCAGCUGGAGCUCCGAUUGGACCCCUCGCCUGGGAACCUCCAUAUGCUGCAGGUGCGGCCCUAAAAAGACAAAAGACAAAUAAUAAUAGUAAUAACAAAUAAUAAGGAGGAAGAGGUGGCAGCAGCCCCUCCUCUGGUGCCCGUUCGGUAGCAGACGUAGUGUUAGCGUGAUCCCACUUGCCAGCCGGAGACACUGAGGCACAGAGGGUGAGGUCGCACGGGCCGUAAGCGGUGCAGCCGGGCUUUGACCUCAGGCAGUCUGGCUCCAGAGUCUCCGCUUAAUAAAUAUUUGUUGAACGAGCGAGGGAGGGAAUUG